GUCAAAAAAAUGUGCCACUACAGUUUAUCAUUCAAUUUGAUAAAAUUGCGAUUUGGGAUAGGAACUGGUAUUGAAAAGAAAUAAACUAUUACUCAAUUGAACAUCAUGAGACCUUGAAUAGUAAAUAGAUGCGCCACUCAACUACUGUAUACUGUUUAUUGCUAGAUCACGUCUAUUCAAGCCAACGCUAAUCUGACAGUACUUCUAUAGUGAGAUGAUCAAACUCACUGCUGGUGUGUUUACUGUAGGAAUUCUCAGUAUUUUUCAACCCGGUUUAUCUCAAGAUUGCAAGUAUUACGGCUCAUAUUGUGAUGAUGAUAAACUGUGUUGUGGAGGAUGCUGUAUAGGAAAUACUUGUGUUCUAACUACCAGAUCAUGUCAGAUUCGCAGUGACAUUUGUAUGGAGCGGUAUUGUCCUCCUGGAUUUGAGUGCCACGCUUACAGACCACGUGACUGUCCUGGAUGCUAUGAAAGUUUUCUUUGCUUACCAUCGAAAAGUUGAAAGUAACAAAAAGAAAAAGUGUCAAUUUUUAAACUGUAUUCUAUCGCAAAAUAAAUAUAUUAAAUACUUAAUAAGCUUAAAAUUAAGAGGAUUUGUCUAUUAAUAACAAUAUUUCAACGUAAAAUAAAGAAUCACAGAUUCUGUAAGUUUAAUUUGAUAAGAGGGUUUGAUUGAUAAUGUCUACACAAUCUAUGAAUUGUAAAUAGGUAGUAACGGAUUUGAAAAACACUUGGUGGGAAUACCCUCUAAUUCCUGAAUAUUUGAAUCGUGUGGAAAAUGUAGAAAAAUUUUACCUCUUCUAGCUUGAGAAGCAUAGGCCUACUUUCAAUUCAACUUGCUUCGAUAAACUUACAUCAAACUAAAAAAAUGGUUUCUAUUGAAUUAUGAUUUCCCUUGUUAAUAAUAUUAUUUUAGUUGAAUUUAAUGCUUAGAGACUGACGCACUGAGUGCGGGAAGAUUUAUAAAAUCAGCUUUAUAAUCGCCCCGACUCAUUCUGCAUUGGUGUGUUCAAGGAUUGAUAAACAACUGAUGAAUUUAGAAUUAUGCAAGAUAAGAUCACUUGAAUGUUUUUACAUUGAAUAUACAGUAAUAAAAACACUUUUGAGGUGGAAUCACUUACUUUUUAGCAGUGACGAUGUUUUGACUCUGUUUCCUCAGUCUGAAAAUUACCAGCAACAGGUCGAAACGUCGUCAUUGCUCUAAAGUAAUUUAAAUUUUAAAUUAUUAGUGUAAAAGAAUGGAUCCAUAACACAGUAAUAUUCCAGUCGCUUCUGAGCGGUUUUGUUUAAACCUUGAAUAAGAAAGUGAAUUUAAUUGUCUUUUUUCUUUAGGGCUACUUUUAAUUAAGUGAAUUUAAUUCUAGGAGGAAAUAACAAAACUCAGAAUAUAUAAAUAAUAUUUUAUUCACUAAAAAUAAAAAGUAAUUAGUCGUCUAUAUCUGGAAUUCAACAAAUAAAUUACAUAAGGUAAGAUGGAUUGGUUUAAAACACUGAACAUAAUUCAACUCUAACGACAAUUUAUGGUUUAGAGUUUUGGUUCUCCACACAAAGAGCACAAAUACACAAGCAAAAUAGUUUUACUGCCGGAAACAAUCACAUGAUCACAACCAUCGCCUCGUUUCAAACUCAAACAUUGUUUCGAAGUUCACCUUUCCUCAACCCAAGUCAUUUUUGAAUUAAUUCCUAUCAAUAAUACAUCUUCUUGGGAUAGAUACAUUUCAACUAUUCACAUGUAGGAUUUGGUUUUGUCUAAAGCGAAAUACAUUCUCUCAACAGUCUUAUUUGCCAUAUAGGAAUUUGGUAAAAUUUUCCAUAUUGUAGCACCAUGUAUGAUUAUAAUUGAUUAGGUACAGUUUCAGGACAAUUCUACAGUUUUAGGUGACAACUUACACAUUUCAAACUAAAUUGUUGUCAAAAUUAAGUGAGUUUUCAAGUCUAUAAGAUGAAGCAAUUUAACUGAUUCGAAUUCGUUAUCCUAUUCAAGUAUAAGAGUAACUGCAAAAUAUAAUAUUAAGAUUCGUUGAGUUAUGUGGGAAUUAAGUUUCUCUAAAUUUAAUCAUUUAUGUUAGAGUUAAUUGAAUUUUAUGUCUUCAACGAUUCCAAGACAUGUUUAUGAAUUCCGUAAUUUUGAUUGAUAACAGGCAACCAAAGAAGAAAAUUGGUUGAUGAAAGAUUAUGGAUUAAAAACUAAAUGAGUGUAUUACAUGAUUGAGUUACCAUACAUGGAUUAUGUACAACAUUAAUUAGUGCAUCAGUAAAACACGUUUUACGAAAUCGAGUUUCUCCAUUUAUUUAAGUUAAUAUAUUUAUUUAUAGCAGAUCAAUACUGUUUUAUUGAGAAAGAUGGCUUAGAUUCGAUUUUAGAAAUUAAUAUUCUAGAAUAGGGAUUUCUGGACAAAAAAAAAACGUUAUUGGCCGAAAUUAUUACAAGAAAGUAGUUUUUAUCAAGACCAAUUAAAAUGUAAAUGAAUCCCACCCGUAUCUCAGCAUGUAUACUUAUAAUAUUCUACAUUCAUUAACUAUUUUCUAAAUAUCAGCAGAUAAUAAUUAUACCCAACACAUAUAAUUAAACCAUAGUCCUAAAUAAUAUUACAAUUGAUCGGCACGUAUUAUUCUCUAUAUCCCUGUAUUAUAUGUAUAACUGAGAAUCUGAACAAAUGAAUACAUUUGUAAUUAUGAAUGAUGUAUUAAGAAUACAAAUUAAGAAUAUUAAUACUGUACAAGAAUUAAUAAAUGCACGAAACUGAAAAGAUAAUUAUUCCUAUCAAUCAGUAGACUCCUGGUUUCAAGUUAGGUGUGAAAAAUAAUUUGUGCAGAAAGACAAUAUUGAGUCUAUUAUAAUUAAAGUUCUAAAUGAAUUAUUUUAUACAAAUUCACAAUAAUAUAUCCUAACUUUAAUCUUCAUAGUUUAAUCUAAAACUGAUAAUUUCUCAUAAUAAUAUUCAGCGGGACAGUUCAUUAAUCAUAAUAUUAAAGAUGCUUCUUCGCUUGUUACAAACCCUUCUAUUCAAUUAUAAAUUUCCUAUUCCGUUCCAUACAAGUUAAAGAUGAUCAGAGUAGGUAUGGACUUACAGAUAUCUCACAAUAAUCAAUUAUAAUAGUUUUUGUUACAAGUGAAUGCACACCGCAAUUAAUACAUAUUUCACUUUAACUAAUUCACCAAAUUUCAACUAUUUACAGGUUAAAUAAUAUAUUAUAUACAGGUUGGUAUAUAUAUAUGUAGGCAGUAUAUGGUUCAGCAUUACAUAGAAUCCUCUUUUGAAAUAGAUGGCAGUGAAGUGUGUAGGACUAAACGACUCAAAACUAUGUCUUUACUGAUUAGAGGUAAUUGAAUUUGUCAUCGAGUGUAUACGGCAAUUUCCGAUACUAAAUACGGGAGGUUCACAGUUUAAAAAAAAUUGAAUACUCUUCACUUAUCUAUUCUAACAGUUUUAUUUGGGCAAUAUUCUACAGCUCUGAUCAAUUUCAUAGAUACAUUGUCUACAGAUCAUUGUUAUAAUAUCAUUAUCAUCAUCAUCACCACUACAAAAUUUCAGUUUUCUUGAUUGAAUUUUACUUUCAACUUUGUGCGUCUGAUAGAAGUUUGUACACAAUUAAAAUUUGUUUUUAAAAUCUUCCAAGAACCUGUUGGUUUGAAUAAGUUUAUGGAAAUUGAGGGCAGUAUUUACUAACAUAAAGUACACACAACACUAUAACAUAAUCAUUUUCAUUUUGAAUUCAAUAGGUUUUGUAGUACGUUAAGCUAGUUAUACUAGUGAACGUUCUAGCUGGCAGCUUCAGAGCGGUUUCUUCAAAUUUGACUUAAAAGAGCUAGCUGUUAAAUUGGCACGCCAAAAUAAUUUAUAAAUUCUAGACACACUCUUGCCAAGUUAUGUAUUGUAUCAAACAAAGUCAUCUAUGGAAAAUCUAGCAAUCUAGGAAUUAAAAAAUAACACAUGCAUACAUCAAACUAAUUAAAAAACACAUUUUGUACAAAUCUAAAUACGUUUCUGAAAAUAGGACAUUUUUUAUAAUCAUUUAGAUCAAACCUAAUAAUCGUACUGAAUUCAUCAUGACAUUGAAAGAUCUCACUAAACCACAAAAAUCAUCAAUGUUUUACUGAAUACUGUUAAAUAUAAUAUUAUUUUCAUCUGAACUAUACAGACUGAUUCAAUAAAGCAAAUAUGAGCAUGCUGCUCACGAUAGCAUUUGAUUAAUAAUAGCAUUUGAACCGUUCUAAGUAUUGUAAAUUAUGUAUUACAAGUCUAGAAAGUAAAUUUAUACAAAUAAUUCAUUUAAAUUUUCGCAUUUCUCAUAUGUCACAAUAAUUGAAAACCUGCUCAAUUUCAAUUAAAAUGUUUAUAAAAUUUGUGACUGUCAGUUAAUUUUUAGUCUAAAGAAUGUAGCAGAGAGAAAAUAAUUCUAUUAAUAAAUUAUAACUGAUUUUGAAAA
rnacentral:lncRNA from 1 species